rnacentral:rRNA from 1 species
GAUGAACUCUGGCGGCGUGCCUAAUACAUGCAAGUCGAGCGAACGGACGAGAAGCUUGCUUCUCUGAUGUUAGCGGCGGACGGGUGAGUAACACGUGGAUAACCUACCUAUAAGACUGGGAUAACUUCGGGAAACCGGAGCUAAUACCGGAUAAUAUUUUGAACCGCAUGGUUCAAAAGUGAAAGACGGUCUUGCUGUCACUUAUAGAUGGAUCCGCGCUGCAUUAGCUAGUUGGUAAGGUAACGGCUUACCAAGGCAACGAUGCAUAGCCGACCUGAGAGGGUGAUCGGCCACACUGGAACUGAGACACGGUCCAGACUCCUACGGGAGGCAGCAGUAGGGAAUCUUCUGCAAUGGGCGAAAGCCUGACGGAGCAACGCCGCGUGAGUGAUGAAGGUCUUCGGAUCGUAAAACUCUGUUAUUAGGGAAGAACAUAUGUGUAAGUAACUGUGCACAUCUUGACGGUACCUAAUCAGAAAGCCACGGCUAACUACGUG